rnacentral:lncRNA from 1 species
GUAUGGGCGCCUACAUACCCAUGAACAAGACUCUACUAAACAUUGCUCCAUGACUCGGGACUUAAAGCCUAAGCUCUGAUACCAACUUUGUUACGGCCCAAUUUAUGACUGUGACUGGCGCUUAUGAGUAAGUGCUCCCGAGUAAGCCUGAUACCAACUUUGUCACGACCCAAUUUAGGAUUGUGGCCGGCGCUUAGGAGCCAGUGCUCCCAAGUAAGUCUCAUCGGUAAUUUUACAGAAAAUCGGGCAGAGUUUCCCCUGUUUUUGGACCAUCCCAAAAAUUUUCUCUGUCUCAAAUCAAGAACCAAACAUCCUAAUAUCAUACCAAAUAAUUGACAACAUGUCAAUCAACCAACACAAGUCUCCAACAUAACUAAAUCACCAACUAACAACCAGAAAUACUAAUUAUCUCCAACUUUAAUGCUAAAGAACAAUACUUAACAUAAGAAUAAUAGAAAAUAAUACUCAUGACACUAAAAGAAUGACUAUGGAGCGACUCUAAGAGUUCAAUGAAAAGAUCAUAACAGUAAUUAAAGUCUCUGCCACGUGAACAAAUGCGAGGCUCACCGAGAAUUUAUCAACCUGUGCGCUCUAAUUAACGAACUCCUCGUCUGCGUCAAUUGUUGUCGCUGUAAAAAAAAUUAGCGGGGAAUGAGUCACUAGCUCAGUGAGCAAUAACACUUAACCACAACCGUUUUUUAUUUGGGGACAAAUCAGAAAACAUGCUUGCAUAAUAAUCACAAAAUAAAAUGCCCUUUUUAAAACGGUAAUGAUAAUCAGUCUCAUCAUGUAUUUCCUGUAACAAAAUCGAUUUAACAAUUCAGUAAUAAACUCGAUAAAUAUUGUAUCGUAGCAAAUCUUUAUAUUUGGGAGGUUCCCAGAAAAGGAUCAUGUAAUCUGUAUCACUGUGUAGACCCCUCCAUAAAAGGAGUCAAGUAUAAUUAUAGGUCCCUACUCAAGGAAAAACUGUAAUUGUAUGCUAGUUCUACCUUCCCACUAGUGAGUGCUAUAACUGUAAUCGGUAAUCUGAAAAUACAAGGUGCACCAGGUCUAACGAACCGCUGUUAGCUACGGGAUCCUUCAAAAUCUCCUCCCAUUUAUACUCUUUCUUGUAAAUAGUAAAUAUUUGUACAAAAGCAUUUUCAAAAUAAUAAAGGCCAUAUCAUUCCUUAUCAAAUCUUGUAAUUUUAUUUCGGUAAUAGUAAUCAUGUCUCAAGUAAAGGUAAAACAUAUCUAGUAACAAUGAAAAUAUUUUGAUUAAUCGGUAAACAUCUCAAGUAAACUGUUCAGUAUCAUAUCAAGUAAAGGACUUGUCCCACGUGCAAUAUCGGAGCAUCGGUAAUACAUUUAUUUUUAAAAAUCAUAUAUAAACCAUGCAAGUUAUUAAAGCACAAAUUUUGGUAAGAAUACUACUCACAGUACUCGUGCCGAAAUACCAAAUGCUUCACCUCGAGCAAUUUGUACAAAUUCUUCCAAACAAUCUAUAAUUACAUAAUAUCAAUCUCA